UGGGUGCUGUAAAGGCUGCCGGCAGGCGUCCACCAGGGCUUUCACACCCUGAGAAUCUGGCCACGAUGCCACUCCUGUCCCGAUCAACACUCAGCCCCCAGCUCCCGUCUACCGUGUUGGCCCCUGCAUGGGGGCCUGCUGCCCCAGUCUCAUGCCGUGAACUUCAAGCUGGAAACAGCAGAGAAUGAAAAACACCUGCUACAAAUGUGUGGCUGCUUCAUAGGAACCUAAGAAAUAGCUCAACUGUCACAUGGCUAAGCUAAUGAAUUGGUAAAAAAAUUAAACAUUGUUUUCUUCUGA